UACGUAGGGUGCAAGCGUUGUCCGGAAUUAUUGGGCGUAAAGAGCUCGUAGGCGGUUUGUCGCGUCUGCUGUGAAAACUCAGGGCUUAACCCUGAGCCUGCAGUGGGUACGGGCAGACUAGAGUGUGGUAGGGGAGAUCGGAAUUCCUGGUGUAGCGGUGGAAUGCGCAGAUAUCGUAAGGAAGACCAGUGGCGAAGGCGGGUCUCUGGACAGUUCCUGACGCUGAGGCACGAAGGUCAGGGGAGCAAACGGG
rnacentral:rRNA from 1 species